UGUGUUGAAUUGGAGGUCCUUAUUCACGGUUCCAUGGCUUUAUCAGGCAUGCCCAUCCAAGUUUACCCAAUGAAGAUGCCCAGCGUUGUUUCUUGAGUUCUGAAAUUGUCCCCCAAUGUGAUGGUGCUUGAUCAUUGCGUCAAUGUCCAUAACGUCAAGGCAUACCUACCCAAAGGUACUGUGAUCACGUUUGAUACAAUGGUGAAAACACCAGAAUCAACUUGGGCCUCUCCUUAAAAAACAUGAACCCUCUGAGAACGAGACAGAGACUGGAAUCGUAAAAGAAUCAAGUACAGAAACCGUGACCGCGUCCAUAUCAAAAGGUCGCAUACACCCGAACGCUCCAGGCCACGCAAUCGUUAGCGGCGCAGGUCAACUAUUGAAGAAGAGGGGCGGCAUGUUGUGAUUAAUUGACUCAUAUAAUUGAGUUGGCAACAAUUAAAGACCGAAGACGAAAUAGAUUGGAGUGGUAGGUGUGCAAAGUAAAAGGGUUCCUGAAGCAAGUCGAAAGCAGGAAAGAAGCAGCAACGUUAAUCACAUAAACACAUGGAAUUAUACAUGUGUGACUUUGUGGAUUAAUAAAAGGAGACUCAUGUGAUCACUAAGGAAUUGAUUUUGGUUAAGGUGUUAUUUAUACAAGGAUGAUCAGUUUAAGUCCAAGUGGGAGAAUGUUGGAACCUAAUUGGACUUUAACUUAUCAUCUUAAGGUCAAGUGACGUUAAACUUGAAAUCAGUUAGAGUCAAUAAUUGAUUAAACCAUAUCCCUUGAAAGUAGGACAAUAAGGAUGACAUGCCAGUAAGUGGAUAGCCCUCAUGUUGGAAUUUUUUUUGGAUGUGCCAAACUGCUUUCGUGAUAGGAGGAAACAGUUAGGGUUUACAUCUAUAAGAGGAUUGUCCCUACUCAAGAGGAAUACCAUCUAUUUUCUGAAAAUUAGCCCUAUUCUAGUGAGAACAUAAGGUCCCCAUUGAGUAGAAGAUAUUUCCUUAUUCACAGUUCCAUGGCUUUAUCAGGCAUGCCCAUCCAAGUCUACCCAAUGAAGAUGCCCAGCGUUGUUGCUUGAGUUCUGAAAUUGUCCCCCAAUGUAAUGGUGCUUGAUCAUUGCGUCAAUGUCCAUAACGUCAAGGCAUACCAACCCAAAGUACAUAUAUGGCCUAGUUGCUCGAGGAGUUCAUUAUAUACAUCAGGCAAGGCCAACACUCCAGGAUGCUGGUUUCUUCUUCUUCUAGGACUAAUCAUUUUUUCUUUUUGAAACUAUAUAGUGUGAAUUUGAUCAUACGAAGUAGUUUUGUGUAUUUAAUUUAGUGUAUUUGGAAUAACUGAGUUUUGGUGUCUAUCUAAGCAAUUUGGGUUCUCCUAAUUUGCAAAAAUACAAAGAUCAAUCGCCUGUAAGCGGUGCAAUCUGGAAAAUCUGCAAUGCCAAAACCGAAUCUGGUCCUCGCCGGAAAAGUUGGUGUUAUUUCUCGACGCUAUUUUGUUGGCAUGGGAGUGAGAGAGGACGGACAAGAGAUGGGAGGAAGGACAGAGGCAUAAAUAACAUCCUAGGGUAUGGAAUUCAAGGUCAAUAACGGUGAUUGUUGAAGCUGGAAGUGAAAGGCGUUGUGGCGGGAUCGACGAGGAUGAUCUCCCAAUUGAAGUUGGUGACGUCUUCCAGUUGAUAUUAUGUGUAAUUAUUUAAUUGUUUAAGGUCAUUUUGGGUGUUUAAAUUUUUCAUUAAAGGGCUCAGCGCCUCUUUGCAAAUUAGGUUUGCGUAGAAGCUAUGAAAGCAAAAAAAAGUUGGUUUUUCAAAGCUAGCUUUUGCUGCUUUGAACUUUUAGCUUUUUUUUCAUCCAAAACUGUGAAAAAAAAAGCUAAAGUUGAAUGUUUACCAAACACAA